CCUACGGGCUGCACCAGUGGGGAAUAUUGGGCAAUGGGCGAAAGCCUGACCCAGCCAUGCCGCGUGUGUGAAGAAGGUCCUCGGAUUGUAAAGCACUUUAAGUUGGGAGGAAGGAUUGUAGAUUAAUACUCUGCAAUUUCGACGUUACCGACAGAAUAAGCACCGGCUAACUCUGUGCCAGCAGCCGCGGUAAUACAGAGGGUGCAAGCGUUAAUCGGAAUUACAGGGCGUAAAGCGCGCGUAGGUGGUUUGUUAAGUUGGAUGUGAAAUCCCCGGGCUCAACCUGGGAACUGCAUCCAAAACUGGCAAGCUAGAGUAUGGUAGAGGGUGGUGGAAUUUCCUGUGUAGCGGUGAAAUGCGUAGAUAUAGGAAGGAACACCAGUGGCGAAGGCGACCACCUGGACUGAUACUGACACUGAGGUGCGAAAGCGUGGGGAGCAAACAGGAUUAGAUACCCGUGUAGUC
rnacentral:rRNA from 1 species